GACGAACGCUGGCGGCGUGCUUAACACAUGCAAGUCGAACGGGAUUUAGUAGACAGAAGCCUCGGCUAAAGAUUACUAAUGAGAGUGGCGAACGGGUGAGUAACGCGUGAGCAACCUGCCUAUGACGGUGGGAUAGCCUCGGGAAACCGGGAUUAAUACCGCAUAAAAUCGUAGAAACACAUGUUUUAACGGUCAAAGAUUUAUCGGUCAUAGAUGGGCUCGCGUCUGAUUAGCUAGUUGGUGAGAUAACAGCCCACCAAGGCGACGAUCAGUAGCCGGUCUGAGAGGAUGAACGGCCACAUUGGAACUGAGACACGGUCCAAACUCCUACGGGAGGCAGCAGUGGGGAAUAUUGCACAAUGGGGGAAACCCUGAUGCAGCGACGCCGCGUGAACGAAGAAGGUAUUCGUAUCGUAAAGUUCUGUCCUAUGGGAAGAUAAUGACAGUACCAUAGAAGAAAGCUCCGGCUAAAUACGUG
rnacentral:rRNA from 1 species